rnacentral:misc_RNA from 1 species
UCAACAUAAUCUUCAAGCCAUAAGCAAGCAAACCCCAAAUCACAAAGUUAUUAACAUAACAUAAACUUGAACUGAAAUUUAAACUUAUAAAAUACCAUGAUAGUUAUAUUCAACAGGAAACUCUUUUCUUUUGCCACCAUUCUCGUAUUGGGUUAGCAAGUUAGUCGAUCCAAUGAUUCUUUACGAUCCCUCAGAACGAUUGCCCUUUAGAAGCACAAAAAAACAAUUCCCACAAUAUGCCAUCUCAGCGUCAAGGUGAGUGUUGCUCAGGGUCCUAAAAACUGCCAUCCUACAAUCAGAAAAAGAAAAAGACAAUGCUUUCUGUGCACAUCGAAGCGAAAUUUACAGUUAACCUCCCCCAGG